rnacentral:lncRNA from 1 species
UGCUUGAAGGUGACCCAACCGAGGACAAAACCACUACAACCUAGGCUAUUUCUUUUGGUUCCUCUCAAAUGGCUGGAAUAGAUUUUGAAACAUUUUAAGCUUCAUAUUCAUUCCCCUCUUUUAACACAAGAUGAUGAAGCUAGUUAAUGACUACCAAGAAAUACCAGAUAACUACUCAGGAUAUAUCUUGUAAAAGUUUAACACCUCCCGUACAAAUGGGUGCGACAGAAGGGUAAAGCCCCCUUCUAAAGCAUGCGAGGGGAGUUG